UGAAGACACUGUAUGGAGGUGUCAUAACGUUGUAGAGGACACUGUCACACCGGACCGAUGGAGAUGCUAACCGGAAUCAAUGUCGGGACAGUUUUAUGUGGUCAUGUCGGACCGUUGGAAAAGCUAACCGGAAUCAAAUGUCGGGACAGUUUAUGGGGUCAUGUCGGACCGUUG